AGCGCAACCCUUAUCCUUUGUUGCCAGCGGUCCGGCCGGGAACUCAAAGGAGACUGCCAGUGAUAAACUGGAGGAAGGUGGGGAUGACGUCAAGUCAUCAUGGCCCUUACGACCAGGGCUACACACGUGCUACAAUGGCAUAUACAAAGAGAAGCGACCUCGCGAGAGCAAGCGGACCUCAUAAAGUAUGUCGUAGUCCGGAUUGGAGUCUGCAACUCGACUCCAUGAAGUCGGAAUCGCUAGUAAUCGUAGAUCAGAAUGCUACGGUG
rnacentral:rRNA from 1 species